CAGUAGCCGCGGGAAUACAGAGGGUGCGAGCGUUAAUUGGAUUUACUGGGCGUAAAGCGUGCGUAGGCGGCUUCUUAAGUCGGAUGUGAAAUCCCUGAGCUUAACUUAGGAAUUGCAUUCGAUACUGGGAAGCUAGAGUAUGGGAGAGGAUGGUAGAAUUCCAGGUGUAGCGGUGAAAUGCGUAGAGAUCUGGAGGAAUACCGAUGGCGAAGGCAGCCAUCUGGCCUAAUACUGACGCUGAGGUACGAAAGCAUGGGGAGCAAACAGGAUUAGAUACCCCGGUAGUCCCUGUCUCUUAUAC
rnacentral:rRNA from 1 species